ACCAGGCGAGGCGGCGGUGGAAAGACAUGCAAGUCGAGCGAGAUUUUUCGUUGUAGCAAUACGAUGGAAAGUCUACUCGGCGAACGGGUGCUUAACACGUGGGCAACCUGCCAUGAAGUGGGGGAUAGCUCGCCGAAAGGCGAAUUAAUACCGCAUGUGAUUAGAGAGGACAUCCUUUCGAAAUUAAAGUCGGGGCAACCUGACGCUUCUUGUGGGGCCCGCGGCCUAUCAGCUAGUUGGUGAGGUAACGGCUCACCAAGGCUUUGACGGGUAGCUGGUCUGAGAGGACGACCAGCCACACUGGGACUGAGACACGGCCCAGACACCUACGGGUGGCAGCAGUCGAGAAUUUUUGACAAUGGGGGAAACCCUGAUCGAGCGACGCCGCGUGGAGGAUGAAGGUCUUCGGAUUGUAAACUCCUGUCAUUUGGGAACAAGGUGCACACGUUAACUGCGUGAGUAUUGAUAGUACCAGAAGAGGAAGAGACGGCUAACUCUGUGCCAGCAGCCGCGGUAAUACAGAGGUCUCAAGCGUUGUUCGGAUUCAUUGGGCGUAAAGGGUGCGUAGGCGGCGCGGUAAGUCGGGUGUGAAAUCUCGGAGCUUAACUCCGAAACUGCAUUCGAUACUGCCGUGCUUGAGGACUGGAGAGGAGACUGGAAUUUACGGUGUAGCGGUGAAAUGCGUAGAUAUCGUAAGGAAGACCAGUGGCGAAGGCGGGUCUCUGGACAGUUCCUGACGCUGAGGCACGAAGGCCAGGGGAGCAAACAGGAUUAGAUAUCCUGGUAGUCCUAGCCGUAAACGGUGCAUGUUUGCUGUAAAAGGAAUCGACCCCUUUUGUGGCGUAGCCAACGCGAUAAACAUGCCGCCUGGGAAGUACGGUCGCAAGAUUAAAACUCAAAGAAAUUGACGGGGGCCUGCACAAGCGGUGGAGUAUGUGGCUCAAUUCGAUGCAACGCGAAGAACCUUACCUGGCCUUGACAUGUACGUAGUAGAAAGGUGAAAGCCUGACGAGCUCGCAAGAGCAGCGUACACCAGGUGCUGCAUGGCUGUCGUCAGCUUCGUG
rnacentral:rRNA from 1 species